AGGGGUGUAGUGUAAUGGUAGCACGCCGGCCUCCAAAGCCGUGUAGUCUGGAUUCGAAUUCUAGCAUCCCUGCCA
rnacentral:tRNA from 1 species